UACAGAGGGGGCAAGCGUUGUUCGGAAUUACUGGGCGUAAAGGGCGCGUAGGCGGCCUGCUAAGUCGAACGUGAAAUCCCUGGGCUCAACCCAGGAACUGCGUCCGAUACUGGUUGGCUUGAAUCCGGGAGAGGGACGUGGAAUUCCAGGUGUAGCGGUGAAAUGCGUAGAUAUUGGGAGGAACACCAGUGGCGAAGGCGGCUACCUGGACCGGUUCUGACGCUGAUGCGCGAAAGCGUGGGUAGCAAACAGG
rnacentral:rRNA from 1 species